UACGGAGGGAGCUAGCGUUGUUCGGAAUUACUGGGCGUAAAGCGCACGUAGGCGGCGAUUCAAGUCAGAGGUGAAAGCCCGGGGCUCAACCCCGGAACUGCCUUUGAAACUAGAUUGCUAGAAUCUUGGAGAGGCGAGUGGAAUUCCGAGUGUAGAGGUGAAAUUCGUAGAUAUUCGGAGGAACACCAGUGGCGAAGGCGGCUCACUGGUCCGGUACUGACGCUGAGGUGCGAAAGCGUGGGGAGCAAACAGG
rnacentral:rRNA from 1 species